AGGCAUCGCCGGGAAUCGAACCCGGGCUGGAGGAUUCAGAGUCCUCAAUCAUAACCCCUAGAUCACGACGCC
rnacentral:tRNA from 1 species